rnacentral:rRNA from 1 species
AUUGAACGCUGGCGGCAGGCCUAACACAUGCAAGUCGAGCGGAUGAAGGGAGCUUGCUCCUGGAUUCAGCGGCGGACGGGUGAGUAAUGCCUAGGAAUCUGCCUGGUAGUGGGGGAUAACGUCCGGAAACGGGCGCUAAUACCGCAUACGUCCUGAGGGAGAAAGUGGGGGAUCUUCGGACCUCACGCUAUCAGAUGAGCCUAGGUCGGAUUAGCUAGUUGGUGGGGUAAAGGCCUACCAAGGCGACGAUCCGUAACUGGUCUGAGAGGAUGAUCAGUCACACUGGAACUGAGACACGGUCCAGACUCCUACGGGAGGCAGCAGUGGGGAAUAUUGGACAAUGGGCGAAAGCCUGAUCCAGCCAUGCCGCGUGUGUGAAGAAGGUCUUCGGAUUGUAAAGCCCUUUAAGUUGGGAGGAAGGGCAGUAAGUUAAUACCUUGCUGUUUUGACGUUACCAACAGAAUACGCCCCGGCUAACUUCGUG